CCCGGCUUUCCUAAUGGCCUCUUCAUCCGAGAGGAUCCUAAUCCCCAUUUUUACUCUGACAGGGAUCAGUUGGAUGAAGAGUUAAACUACAAGAGAGCCAAGGGGACUGACAUCUUGGAACCACGGUCACUGAAAAGGCGUGGGAGCAAGCUGUCCGGAAAGCGUCCUGCACAUCCCAGAAAUUGCCUAGCUUGACGAAUCUUUCAGAAGGUCACACAACCUUGCCUGGAGACACGAAAUGGAGAGAGAGCCCACGGCGAGUUCUGCUCAAACAAUUGUCUCGCCCUCACUGUUCACAAUGUGAUGAUGCGUGCUGCCUGGUUACAGCUUCCAUCUUCCCAUGUGCCUGUCUCUUUGGGGCAACGCAAAGCAAAAUUCAAGAGAGGACAAGCUAUCUCGCGUAGCCCAGCAGAGAGGUCUUGCUGCCACAAGACGGACACUGUUUUCAUGGACAGAGCCUGCCUAUCACUGGAAUAAAUCCCAGCCAAUUCCACUCUUCCUUUGAUGACAAAGAACCAAGCCUAGUGCACAAGAUGUCUGCAUUUUAGAUGAACAGAUAAGUCCUUCACUUUGACUUAAAUUCAAAUGUAAAUUCAUCCAAAGUAUUACUCAAGAUCAGCCUCAAAGUCUUCAACUAACCCCGCUCUCUCCUGCAAAAUGCAUUCCUGUCCCAUUUGGAAAGCUGACAGGAUCACCCAAAAUCUCAGUGCCAUUGUUCUACUCCAUACAGCUGUAGCAAGAGGUGCUGCACUAAACCAGCAGCCACCAUGUUUGGGGAUGAUCUGCGGAGAGCAUUGGCAGGGUUUCUAAAGCGGUCUAGGGCCUCAAUAAUCUCAAGUUGUGCCAAAGCUAAGGGGCAUCAUCCCUGUAAUUAAAGUGCUGUUCUUUGAAGAUGCAACUUUCUUACU